UUGAGUAAACAAAUAGGUAGAAAAUGGGUAUUUAUUACCAUUCAGGAAUGUGUGACCCAAAUCAUGUAGUGUUGGGGGUCAUAGAUGGGGUCAUUUGACCAUGGGCCCACAUGGUUUGCUAUGUUUUAUGUUUCAGGUUUAUUGAGUUCAACAGAGUGAUGGGGAAAAAUCUCAGAGAGAACUUCUUUGAUGCACUUGACUGUUUCUCUCCAAGCCUGAUGGAGCUCUUCAGGAAGAAGAAAGGCCAUCAGACAAAGGUGGGUUGACUUGUCUACAUCAGUCUACUCCUUCUCUUCCCUUUCACCAUUCCUCUCCAUUCCCUUUGCUUUUCCUCUCCUUUCUUCUCAUCACUUAUUUUUAUUAUUUGCUUGCCUCUACCAUUUCCUCUUUUAUCCAUUUUUCUCUUUUUCUCUUGCCCUCUCCAUUCUGAAAUCUCUUCCUCUCAUGUUCUGUCUAUUUUUCUACUUUUCUCCUGUCGUCUCCACUAUACUUCCCCACCCCUUUUUAUUGUUUCAUCUCUUUUUCUUCACCCUUCCAUCCUCUCCCUUUUCUCUCCUCUCUCCUUUCCUUUUUGUGUCAUCACCUCUUGUCCUGUUCUUUACUUUCCAAAAUCUGGAAAUUGCUGUGAAGUCAUAAAGAAUUGGGGGGGGAGUUCAGGAAUUUGAUUAAUACAUGUGAGUAUCCCCACCAAACUGUGUUGUACAAUAUCUGCACUAUCUUCCAGACCACUGAGCCAACAGACAUUAGGUGCCUUUGUCUUCGUAGACUGCCGGUCACUUUGGGGGAUGAUCCAAUUUGUUGUUAAUGUUGCAGGAUGUAACUGACAAGGACUCAUAUAGUCAAACUCCAGUGGGAAUCCUCUGCUUCGAAUCAGAAAGUCCUCAGCUAAACCUAUUCAAACUGAGCAUUGUCUUGGAAAGGAGUUUGGUGCUGGGUGAACUGGCCAACCUGCCUCAGGCCUUCUGUGUUCUUUUUGGACUGAUUUAUGCCCUGCACCUGGACUAUCCUAAGUGUAUGAAAAACACUUUCCACGUUAUUCAGCAGAUAGACUUUAAGAAUGCCUUUGACAAAAGAACAACGUAUUGAAAUCAUUCUCAUGGCUAAAUUGGGAAGCUGUCACAAGGUUUCAGAGGUCUUUAACAGGAAACAUGGCAAGCACCUCACACAUGACACUGAAAGCGUGUGGACCCGAGAAGUGGACGUCCACAAACAUCCACUGACAAAUGACGUGGUGCUGGCAAACAUAGUCCUUAUGUAUGGAGGUUUUUGGGACACCCUGUACAUACAAGAAUCUACAGCAGGGGUAUCCAAAGUAUGGCCCAGAGCCAAAUGUGGGCCACAGCUUCUCUAUUAAACCCAAUUUCUAUCCUGGUGAAGCCCUUUAGAAAAGUAUGUCACCAGAGCACAAACUAAAGCAGAAAGACUCAAUCGUGACUCGAAGUUUGAGCAGGUAAAAAUGGAAAAUGGCCACUCCAGGGGGUCUGUCUUUGUGCACUCCUCAUCUUCCCAGGAAGUCAGGAAGGCCAAGAAUGAGAUGAAUGGCAGGAUUUGUGGCAGGAAGCCAGUGUGUGUUGGUGUGACUCGGUGCAAAGAGGAACACCCGACUUGCCUUGCCGUCAGAACAUGCAGAGGACGGCAAGCAUGCAGGUUAACACCAUAUACAACUUCUACCAACCUGUACCAGUUAAAGGGGUCCCUGGCUGCAGAAAGUUUGAGCAGCCCCUUUAGCUACCCCAAGUUACCACAAGAGGCUAUACUGCUAGCUGGAUAGAAUAACUAACUGCCCCCUGUGAUUCUGAUCUGAAACAAGGAAUGAAAUAACAUGUUUAGUGUGUGUGUGUGUGUGUGUGUGUGUGUGUGUGUGUGUGUGUGUGCUGUGUUAUAGACUCAGAACCUGAAUCUGCACUAUGUGAGUUACAGCUGUCUGGUUGUAUAUCAGUGUUACAUUUGUUACACAGUGUGUGUAUGUUCCAGUCUCUCCAUAGCUGUGUCACAUACUACUGUACUAUUGCAUACUACUGUACUAAAUAGUGACUUAGCAUGCUAGAUCAGGGUUUAGCAGCCAGGUCACUCUGACUGAACCACCCCUUGAGGCUACUGAAUGCUAGACUACAUAAUGUUUUUCAAAACAGACAGGGUAUUAUCUGGGUAAAUACCCUUUAGCAAUCAGUGUUGGUUUCCAAUGUGCUGUUUAUCUGACUGUUUUUCCAGUUGAUGCUACUGUACUAAAUAUCAUGUAAACAGGGAGUUUGGCACCUACUUGUAAGCUAUGGUGCUAUACUAUAUAGAAUGGUUGGACACAGUUUGAGACGCAUCCACAGAUAUGGCUUUUAUGUAACAGUUGAACAUUUGAGCCAGUUACAGUAGCUAACAGUUUUUAGUGAUUAGUUUUCACCACAAAUGUACUUGCAUAGCAGGAUAUGGUUUAGGACAAAGCCUGUAACUAUGUCUUUGUUUGGUGCUUUUUUUCUUUAAGCAGAUGUCCAGAGUAUGCCCGAUCUGGUUGAAUCUGCAGUGCGUCAGCAGACCACUGGCACCAUCACACCAUCAAGCAGUCAGGUGCCAUGUGUGAUUGUAGAGUGUACAAGUGUAACUACAGCAACAUCUGUAGAUACUGUAAUAGUGGCAGACUCUGUGUCAGCUGUAGAAAAGUAUCUAGUGGUAGACAGUGUCCCAGCUGAACGUAAAGUUCCAUCAGUAGAAGGUGUCCCAGAUGUCGACACUGUUCCAGCUGUAGAUAGUGUCCCAGUUCUAGUUACAGUUGCAGAUGAGCUUUCAGCUCAAGCUCUAGAUGCAGAUGUUACAUGUCUACCUUCUACAUCUAUGGUAUCUGAAAGUGAUGUGCAGCAGGACAAUGACACAACAGAUGUAUCAAUGUGUCCAGCAGCUGAAAAGUGUCUGACCAUUUACAUGUUGUACUCCGCUCCGUUAGAUGACCAGAUCCAGAUGGCGCGUGGAUGAAAUGGACGCUCUGCUGAAAGCGAGAGAAGCUGGUUACAAGCCGGAAACCCUAAAGAUGCUUUACAACAACAAUGAGAAGAAGAAGAAGAAGAAGAAGAAGAAGAGAUAAUACAAAUAAACAUUGUAUUCAACAUUGCAAAUAGUAUAAAGUGGCCUGGGUCUUGAUUAUUGUCAUUUAAAUAAGAAUUUAAAGAGAAAUUGUACAUUUAUUAACUCAAGAUUAUUAAAGUCUUAAGUAUUAACUGAGAAGAAUAUUAAUUAUUGAUUGUGAUUUAUAUGCAAUUAAAUUUCUCAAUGUCUGUGAGGAAUAUUUUCCCAAAGACUAAGAACAUAUUAAUGCCACAGAGUCAAAACGUCAUUCUGUUAAGGAGAUUAAGUUGUAAAUGGCUUGAUAUUAACUGCUCUACUCCAGCCAGGCACAGUCUCACUGGCAUUGCUUGACUCAUUUGCUCCCCAUGAUUGUUGUGACAGUCAGAAAAAGGGGAAUAUUCUUUAAACUGUGUCUUGAUGAAUCUGAGAAUUUCUAGAACAGGAAAUGUGAUCAUGGGCACAGAAAAAGGUCAAUGUAACAACUCGUAGCAGCAGCAGGCACGCACAGACAGAGGCUGGGCUGGUGGUUAAAACAGCUUUUAUUUUGUUGGGUGCUGGGAAAGACGGAGGAUGGGAGUGCAGCAGGGACGCUGUGAGGGAAGUGUUAGAGAGGAGUGGGAGAGAGUCAUGGCUGCUGCGGUCCAGGCAGUGGCGUGCGGGUGGGUGAGAGUUGUCAUUGCAAUCACUGUUGUCAGAAAGACAAAGAAAACACAAAUGGAUCAGCAUAGCCAUAUAGCCAAAAGCUGCUCAAGCUGCUGAGGUUGUGGUGCUCUUUUAUCCUUUCCCGUCUUCUCUGAGAUGGCUCCAUUCCCACGCCUUACAGCCAUGUGCUCUUCUGUGGUCCAAUGCAGUCCAAUGGUGCAGAAACGGCACUGUCCAUUCAGCACCGAGGUGGCAGUAGUUUCUUGCACCGGAACAAGAAAUCCUGCAAUGACAGAAACCUCUGGGUUAUUCAGACAUUACUAUAUUUUCCUUUUGCCAUACAUUGAAGAGGGGCUUGGUCCAUGACCAGCGUGAAGUGUUUGCCUGAGAGGUAGUAUCACAAUACCUCAGUGGCCUACUUUAUGUUCAGAUAUUCUUGUUCCAAGUCAGCAUACUGCUAUUCUGCGGGGGUCAGCUUUCUACUCACAUACAGGAUUGGGUGUUCUUCUCCAUCGAAGGUGUGGGAGAGUACAGCACCCAGGCUCGUCUCUGAAGCAUUCGUGUGCACAGUGAAGGAAUGAUCAAAAUCUGGCUACCUUAGCACUUGUGAGCUUGUGCGAGCUUGUGAGCACUUGCUUCAGAGUCUGGAACGCCUGCUCUGCUGCCUAGUCUGUGUGCCCCUUUUUAGUUAGGUCUGAGAGUGGGGAGACUAGAGUGAAGAAGUUGGGGACAAACCUUCUGUAAUACCCUGCCAACCCCAAGAAGGCACAUACCUGUCACUUGGAAGUGGGUCAUGGAUGACACUUUCAUGGGUUUGAUACAAGUGAUUUUACCAUGUCCGUGAGUGGAUCAUGAUGAUGUCCAAGUAGACUGCCGUGACCUGCCGAUGUGCAUGUAGGACGACAUCCAUGAGCCUGUUCUGAAUGCAGUCUUGUGUUUUGUGUGUGGGGCUAGGGCUACCUGCCAGUAGCCUUUGGUGAAGUUGAACGUCGAGAUAAAUCAGGCUUUCCCCAGGUGCUCCACCAGGUUGUCCACCUAGGGAAGGGGGUAGCUGUCCAACUCAUAUACCUGGUUUAGUCUCAGGAAGUCAUUAUAGAUCCUGAGGCUUACAUCAGGUUUUGGGACCACCACGAUGGGGCUAGACCAGGGGCUGUCAGACUCUUCUAUAAUGCCUUCCUCUUAAAGAAAGGAACAAAGAAAUCAUUGUAAAGAUAGGAACAGACAAAAAGGCUAAUGGAAUGAAACCCUUUUAGCAGUAGACUCGUGAAAAUAAGAAUGAGAAGAAGGCACAUAAACCUUACUAUCCUCUAGUGCUAUGCCCUCACGAACGACAACA